GAAUAUUAGUCAAUGCUCGAAAGAGUGAACUAGCUAACUGAAAUCAAUUAAAAUAAUUGAUAACAUAAGGGAAAAUAAUGAUAUUACCUUAUUAUUAGUGUCGUCCAAAACUGGUGCCAGAAGACUCGGUAAGGCCAGAGACACAAACGUUAAUCGUCUUAAUCAGGCGUAAAGGGUUUGUAGGCGGCUUUAAAAUUUAGUUAAAAAAUAUUUAAGUAAAGAAUAAAAGCUAGAAUCAAAUAGAGGAUAUAUGAAAGAAUGCUUAGAGUAGGUCUGAUAUCUUUAGAUACUAAGUAGAAUAUUAAAGGCGAAAGCUUUUUUCCAUUAAUGAUUGACGCUCAGAAACGAAGGUGAGGAUAGGAAAUAGGAUUAGAUACCCAGAAUACCCCUCUCUGUCAACGAUGAAUGGUAGUUAUUAGUAAAAAUUAUUAAUGGCAAUGUUAACACGAUAACCAUUCCGCCUUGUGAGUACAACUGCAAAGUUGAAAACAAAAAAAUUAGUCGGUUUCGGAGCAAACGAAGUGAAGCAUGUUAUUUAAUUC
rnacentral:rRNA from 1 species